CCAAAAUGGCUUGAGUUCUAACCU
rnacentral:miRNA from 1 species